GCUCCUGUGGCCAAGAGGUUUAAGGCAUCGUGCUUAUACGUUUCGGGAACGCGAAAAUCGCGGGUUCGACCCCCGCCAGGAGCA